ACAGUGUCUGGUGGGUAGUUUGACUGGGGCGGUCUCCUCCUAAAGAGUAACGGAGGAGCACGAAGGUUAGCUAAUCCUGGUCGGACAUCAGGAGGUUAGUGCAAAGGCAUAAGCUAGCUUGACUGCGAGCGUGACGGCGCGAGCAGGUGCGAAAGCAGGUCUUAGUGAUCCGGUGGUUCUGAAUGGAAGGGCCAUCGCUCAACGGAUAAAAGGUACUCCGGGGAUAACAGGCUGAUACCGCCCAAGAGUUCAUAUCGACGGCGGUGUUUGGCACCUCGAUGUCGGCUCAUCACAUCCUGGGGCUGAAGUAGGUCCCAAGGGUAUGGCUGUUCGCCAUUUAAAGUGGUACGCGAGCUGGGUUUAGAACGUCGUGAGACAGUUCGGUCCCUAUCUGCCGUGGGCGCUGGAGAAUUGAGGGGGGCUGCUCCUAGUACGAGAGGACCGGAGUGGACGCAUCACUGGUGUUCGGGUUGUCAUGCCAAUGGCACUGCCCGGUAGCUAAAUGCGGAAGAGAUAAGUGCUGAAAGCAUCUAAGCACGAAACUUGCCCCGAGAUGAGUUCUCCCUGACCCUUUAAGGGUCCUGAAGGAACGUUGAAGACGACGACGUUGAUAGGCCGGGUGUGUAAGCGCAGCGAUGCGUUGAGCUAACCGGUACUAAUGAACCGUGAGGCUUAACCUU
rnacentral:rRNA from 1 species